GAAGCUGUUGCCGCAAUAUUUCUCACCAUGCCUCCCACGCGCGAAUGCUUCUCGCGACGAGCAUAGCAGAGGCAUGACAACAACAGUCAAGUCUUUGCAAACUUGCCUGUUACAAUGUAACUUGUGAUAUUAGAUUAUAAUGUAACAUGUAACGUGUUUUUCGAUCAACAGCAAAAGUGAAGCAUCGUUGUAAACAUUUGUGUUGAGACAAAUGUAGCUGAAAGUAAAAGUGGUUGGCGCGACGACACUUCAAAACCACAGCGGGGACAGAAAACAACCCGCAUAUGGAACGCAAACAAGGGGAAGUGAUCUCAGCAUGCGUUUAAUUUCCUGUUCUUAAAGAUUAGCACACAUUUUUCCCUUCCAAAAAUGUAUAUGGCAAUUUUAUAGUUUUCACGUACUCGAUAGCCAUUUGCUACUCAGCUAGCAAGCUCAUUUUCUGUCAUGUUUUGGGAGUUGUAUCGACACUUCUGGGUGGCUCAAAUUUUCAACGAGCUCGACUAGUAAGUAGCGGGGAGCAUGGACAGCUCUGUGACCCUGUGGCAGUUCUUGCUCCAGCUCCUAUUGGACCCCACCAAUGAUCAGCUGAUCUGCUGGACCAAUGAGGAGGGCGAGUUCAAGCUGCUGCAGGCGGAGGAGGUGGCCAAGCUGUGGGGCGCCAGGAAGAACAAACCCAACAUGAACUACGACAAGCUUAGCAGAGCCCUGAGAUACUACUAUGACAAGAACAUCAUUAAGAAGGUGAACGGGCAGAAGUUUGUGUACCGCUUUGUCUCAUACCCAGACAUUCUGAAAGGGGAUGCCUCUGUUCGGCCCGAUGGGGAGGGGGGUGCAGGGGGUGGCCUGCCCCUCUCAGAGAGGGGGGUCAACACAUCCAGAGAUGAUGAGGGUGGGGACAGGAGUGAAGGUGUGACAGCAACACGGGGGUCCAGUACUAAGCCGUCCAACCGUAAUGACUACAUCCACUCUGGUCUGUACACCUCGUUCACCCUCACCUCGCUGCAAAAUGGACGGCAGCUGUUCAAGUCCAUCAAGAUGGAGAACCCCGGAGAGAAGAUGGCCGACAGGAAGUCCAAUACCCGGGCCCAAGACCCACCCUCUCAGCCAAUGCCAUCGCCGUCAGUCAUCAAGUUUGGGACCACCCCUCCCAAGAGAAGCCCUCCACCACCUCAGGUUACUAUAGAAACAUCCAGUCCGCCAUUGUACCCUCUCCAAGUCCCACCUCCCAUAGAUGAUGUAGUGAGGACACAUUCCACCCUCCUGCCUCAGGCUGUGUAUGCGUUUGAGCAAACCAAGACCUUGGAAUCCUCGAAUCUUCGAAUCCUGCAUAGUUUCAGCUUAUCAGAGGUGCCCUCUCGGAGUCCCUCCCCCAGCAUGGUGCCGGACUCCACCCAGGAGCUGGUGAUUGACAGUGACAUCGAGUCCAUCUCCUCACAACCGACAGAGAUUCAGAUACAGGCGGUGCAGAGUUCUGGCCAUGUGUCAAGUGGUGAGGUAUGUGGAGGAAACGGGGACAAGGGAGGGAAUAGGGAGAUGAGUUUGUCUCCGGUGUGUGCGAGUGGCCAUAUCACAGGGGGCAAGGCCCGCAAGCCUCCUAAAGUCCUGGAGCUUUCCACUCCUACACUGGUGGUCACUGCCUCUGACCUUUCACCUAUGAACCUCUACAGCCCCUCACUACCCACCGCCUCUCUCACGCCAGCACUGCUACAGAUUUUCCCUCUGUGGGUUAACAUCUAUGCUACUGCGGUCAUGAGAUGGCUCCGUUGGAGCCAGCCCCUGGCCAGCUUCUCAUCUGGGUUGGCUUUGCCUUGGGCUGCUGACGCCCACUCUGUUGCUGACCCCCAGUCCCCUGCUGUCUAACAUCCACUUCUGGAGCACGCUCAGUCCGGUGGCUCCCCUCAGCCCUGCCACCCGCCGCCAGCAGGGAGCACACACCCUGUUCCAGUUCCCCUCAGUGCUCACCCCUCAUUUCCAUAUCCCCACACACAGUCUGGAUGGGACCAACACCCCCGGACCCCUCACUCCAGACUCCCAUAAGACAUAAGGGACCUUACCCUUGGAACCUGUGGAGCCCCCAGACGCAGAGGCCCUACUUCUGCUCUACCCGCACACUCCCAAACAGACACAGGAGACAUGGGGGUUGAUGAUUUGGAUAAAUGAGGACCAUCCACUGCCAGGAGGGACUGAGACGGUUAGAGGUUUCCAACACGCACACAUCUUGAUUCCUUGAACACUUCCUGUUCUUUUAACUUGCCAUCUUCAGGUCUCCAUUGACACCUCUCCUAAAGAAGUAUUUUUAGGAAUUGCCAUGGUAACCAGUGCUGCAAAGACUAGUGAUUUGAUGCUGACCAGUCAGAAAUGUGCAUCACUUUACCUGAACAGCCAAUUGUGUCUCCGCUCUGAGACCAAAGGGAUUACAGACCUUUUUCUUUCUAUUUCAACCUAAAUAGUUUCCUUCUAUUCUUUUUGUGGAACUUCACACUUUCACAACAAACUGUUUGAUGGUGUGUUGUCAAUUCCCAACUCAGUUUUUAGAUGCUUUUUAAUGGAUCAUUUCCCAGUUAUUAGUUAUGUUUUUAACGUGUUUUAACCAGCUAACCUUAAUGUUUCUCCUCACCGGCUCUCUUAGAUGGAAAAUGCUUGCCAACACCAACUCUACUCUUCCCUUAACUGUCAAUCCCCUCAUCUACAUGCCAGUAUAUACAGUUUAAGUCAGAAGUUUACAUACCUUAGCCAAAUACAUUUGAACUAAGUUUCACAAUUCCUGGCAUUUAAUCCUAGCAAAAAUUCUCUGUCUUAGGUCAGUUAGGAUCACCACUU